UAGGGAAUCUUCCGCAAUGGACGCAAGUCUGACGGAGCAACGCCGCGUGAGUGAAGAAGGAUUUCGGUUCGUAAAACUCUGUUGUUAGAGAAGAACAGCGCAUAGAGUAACUGUUAUGCGUGUGACGGUAUCUAACCAGAAAGCCACGGCUAACUACGUGCCAGCAGCCGCUGUAAUACGUAGGUGGCAAGCGUUGUCCGGAUUUAUUGGGCGUAAAGCGAGCGCAGGCGGUCACUUAAGUCUGAUGUGAAAGCCCCCGGCUCAACCGGGGAGGGUCAUUGGAAACUGGUUGACUUGAGUGCAGAAGAGGAGAGUGGAAUUCCAUGUGUAGCGGUGAAAUGCGUAGAUAUAUGGAGGAACACCAGUGGCGAAGGCGACUCUCUGGUCUGUAACUGACGCUGAGGCUCGAAAGCGUGGGUAGCAAACAGG
rnacentral:rRNA from 1 species